rnacentral:lncRNA from 1 species
UAUCAUAGUCGGACAUUAACCUCUCCACCGAGAAUAACUUGUCAACUCCGACAUUCGCAUUAACGAUGAACUCGAUCCCUGCGGCAGCCAUCAGGUUCACUCGCCGGUGAACGACCUCCACUUUGUUGGUCUUCAUGUUUGGCACACCGUACAUCAUGAGGCCUCCAAUUCUAUCCACUCUCUCAAACACUGUCACAGAGUGGCCGGCCUUACUGAGCUGAUCAGCGGCUGCUAGGCCUGCCAUACCGCUACCUACAAUCACCACUCUCUUCCUGCAAAGAGACAACGACGUGAGAAACCAGCGACGUGAGUAAACCUUGUCUCUACAUACCCGGUCCGAUAAGCUGGUGGACAAUCCAGCCUUCCUCAAAAGCUUUGUCGAUGAUGGUACACUCUAUCGUCUUAAUGGACAUCGGGUUCUCUAUAAUUCCCAGAACACAGGCACCCUCGCAAGGAGCAAGGCACACACGUCUUAUGAACUCUGGAAAGUUGUUGGUUUCCAGGAGCCUAUCCAAGGCUUCCCGCUAACGACCUUGGUGAACAAGCUCGUUCCAUUCCGGAAUCUUGUUUCCAAUGUCAUCCCGCAGGUACACAGAGAUGAAUAAAUAACAUAGCUGAACUGGACAUACCUGGUUGCAGUUCUAAUGGAGUGCCGCGCGGACUGGGUUUUAAGGAGGUCAUCGCAAGGACCUCGUUCCAAUGGGCCGGGUGAUAUGGAAGUGUUUCUCGUUCAUACGAGAUAAAUCCCGAUGUUUCACUGCGUCCGGAAUUCUUGUUGGCCGCGCUUGGGCUUGAGUCUGACCACAAAGCGAACGUCAGAGUUGCAGGCCAGACAAUCAUUCAAUUCUACCGCGACUACUGCAGCCGCUCCUCCGUUGGUAGCUGCUUCAGCCAUUUUCUUCAUUUCCUGGAAAGCAUCCACAGCGGCCAGUCGCGCUUCCUCCUCCUCUGCCGCUCUUUUCUUGUCCUUCUCCUCGUUGAGAGCUCUUUUGUAGUCGAGAGGGAAAACUUUCACGAAUUCGUAAUUGGCCUGCAGGUGCAUAUGUUUGUUAUGGAAAAUGGUUGGAUAACAUAUAGAAAGAUUGAAAUACCUCCCAGUUAAGCUGGUUAUUUUCCGCGCAUGCGAGGGACUCCAUCGCCACUCCAUUCAAUCCUUUCUUCGCAGAGAGCAGCCACAGCUUUCACAUACAGUGCGUGCUCCUGUCGGCAGCAAAUCCCAUUCAAAAACCAAUCGAAACUAAAGAACAAUCAAACCACGUACUUGUUCCAACACUCUGGCUGCCAAGUCUUGCGGCGUGUCCGUCUCUAGAACAGGAACUUCUCGCUGCGCAAGGAUGCUCCCAUUCUCAUCCACGACAUGGAUCGUUGCGCUUGAGACACUGUUACAAAGUUGUUGCAAGCAUGAAAGAUAGAAGUUACCGAGCGCCGGCAGCCUCGUGGACUUGAUUCCGUAGAAACCUUUGCCUCCAAAUGCCGGGAGGAGCGCGGGGUGAAUGUUGAGGAUGCAGCACGAAAUCCACUCCUUGAUGCCUGCGAAAGAUCGAUCACAGAUAAAGAUAAAUCUUCUAGCGCUUUUAGAAAAAAAGCAUGAAACCAACCUCAGAAUUUCCACGAGCUUGUUUGGAGAGACUCCAUCUGGAGCGAACUUUGUUCUCGGAUAAUCGCCAGGGAAAUCCCGUGCUCUCGAGCGUCCUCGCAAGCCAUGCAUUCUAAAAUCCAAGACAAAAGAAUGGGAAGAACUAAACUCUAGCUGGCUGGAAUGCUAUGGAUUCUAGCCUUGGAGAAAAACCAAGAAGAACUAACCUCGAGAAUCGAUCGUCGCUCUGUGGAUGCUCCGAAAGUUUGAUCCGCCGCCGGAUACCAGGCUUCCUCCUCAUCGCGGGAUCGCCUUGCGCUUCUCUGAGGCAGCAGCAAUGGGAAUCCCAGCUCCGUGGUUGAGGAAAGAAAUGCCGCUGCGCGAUUGGAACUGGAGCACAUAAUGCAAAAGAUCGGGGAGGCUGCUUGGAUCGCUUAGGAUUUGAAGGUCGCGUGUUCGAUCCACGCUCACCGCUUAAGCUUUGUGAAAAACAAUGGUGACUUAAAUCAAACCUCGGGCGGCGUUAUUGGAUAACAAGGAAGGGUCUCAAGAAAUUGCGCAAGGCAGGUAGCGAGUAUGACAAACUCAGCAGGUUUUCCAAGGAGAAGAGGCUGGUGGGAUCCAGACUUGGCCAUUUGCUGGGUUUGCUCUACAUCCACCAGCACUGGGAUCUCUUCCAAGAUUUCAUCUCCGAAGAGGUUUUCCAGACUUCCAUGCAGCCCUCAACUCGCUCGACGUUUCCUGGACUCAGGUAACAGGUUUGGGGUGGUUUUAUGGUGGGAGCUGAACUGACUCAUGUUUCUGUAGAAGAUGCGACUCAAAGGAUGGCUGUCAGCGAUGCUUUGCUGUUUGACCGCUUUGCUCAGCGCAAAACGGUGAGUGUUUCCUUCCUCCUUUUGUUUCUGUUUUAUGUCUCUUACCAGUUCAUGUAGAUGGAUCUUUCAAGUGAAAAGUUUGGUGAACGAGCUCAACCCGUUUAUGAGGCCCUCUCAUAUGAUAUAGCAGUCAUCACCAAGCUACGGCAAACUCAGCAACAGCUGGAGCUGCUGCUCUGCAGCAUCAAGUGGGAACCGUUUAUCGAGGACUUGCUUGUGCCUUGCCUUCUUCCAGACGUUCUGACACACCGGGAGAAAGUGGAAGACGCGGUCGCGCAUGCUCGGCUCAUGUUGAUAGAAGCAGACGCGAAUAUUUUCUAUGGCUGCUCCUUCAACUGUAAGUAUGCCGCGCUUUGGUUUAUCAUUAUCUUCUGUGUAUGCUGAACUCAAACCAGCAGCAAAGGCUCGGGACUGAGAAACAAAAGCUCCAUGACAGCAGCCAGCUACUCUGGUAUAGCUACUCAGCUACCCAGUUUCCUGCUUGUCAUCUUCGUCUUGCUUUCCUUGCGUACAGGCACAUGCUUCGCAAUCCUUCUCCCAUAGACAAGUUGUUCAGGUGCUUUUACCUUGAGGCAGUGCUACAUUCAACGACGUAUGUCUCCCGUUUUCCUUUCUUAUCUUUGUGAAUUCGCUUAAAUAUUUGUGUCCAGGGCCGGGGGGGUCAAAGUGCUGACCCCGGAAGACUAUCCGGACACAGUCCCUCCUGAGUUUCAAGAGGACAUUUCUGAAAAAGAUCUGCGCGUGUUUCGCAUCAUUCCUCAUGAAACUUCGUUCGGGUAUGUAUACUAUGCAAGUGCAUUUGAAUCUCUCAUCUCCUUGAUCUGGUGAUCUUGCGCUUUCUGUCUCAGCUCAAAGUCGAACGUGGUUUUUGCAAGACUGUGCGACUUUGACCUCAAGAGCAUCCUGUUGGGGGAGCCCGUGGCCAGGGAAAGGGUGUGCCAAGCUCAUAUACUUAUCGACAAGGUCUGGCCAACUCCAAAGGAGCUGUACGAGUGUCGCUAGAAAAGCCAACAAAACUGUGACAAAAAAAAUUGCACCUGUCAGCGAGAAUACCUGGUCGAGCUGGGACUGAGGCUGCACAUUUGGAGGUCCGCUAGAGGCAUCAAUCACCCAUUCCUAGCUGACCUGCAAAAUCCAUGGGAAAAGCAUGAUCUCGAUCUCUACGUGGAGUUUGCAGCAAAGACUUGGUCCAGCUUCUUUCUCUUAUUUCUCCUUUCCAUGACAGCAGUGGGUGGAGAGCAACAUCACAAUGUUGGAACUUGAAAGAUGCCGUUAGAGCUCAUCCUCGCAGUCUAUUUGGCGAUCAAGAAGCCAGGUUUGUGUGUGCACUAUCCCCUCCCCCCUCUCUCUCUCUCUCUCUCUCUCGUGUCUCGUGUGAUGAUUUAAUCGGGAGUGCCUACCACACCUUACAGCCUUUAUUAAGUUACAUAUAGCUUUCAAAGAUAUAUAGAAUGCACAACAUCUGCAAACUUGAAGAUGUUCCUAGACAAAAAUUAUUGAUACUUGUAGAACUAACGCAAUUGACAGUUGUGGUGGUUGCUGACGAUUGUUUGAGCUAAGCACACAGGCAUCUUACGAUUUGAAAUACUGCGCACAAGCGGGGCACAUGAACGGUACCUGAGUGACACAGUUGACUUCGUUUCUACGUUCUUCCCCUGCUUCUUCGACUAGAUCUGCCCCCUGUUCUGGAUCCACCUCCGGUGCUGGAUUGUAGUGGACACAAGGCUGGUGGUACCACAGGUCACAAACGUCACACUGCACCCAGGGAGCAUCGCCUCUAUCUUCCCAACAGUCGGAGCAGCUUUGCAAAUCCUGUGACAGACGAGAGUUCCAUUAAAGAGGAAAAGGAACAAGAAAACAAAAGACAGCAUACCGUUCUGGCUGUGUUUUUCCUGAGCUCGUCCAGCCUCGCAUCAAUGCUCGAAAGCUGUACACUGAAGAAGCUGAAAGGCAUCACGACGACAUAAUACUCGAGGCCAGGAUGGACUCUAGAUGUUGCUCGGUACGAGACCCACCUGUCCGUGUAAAUCACCCACACAAGCACCUUGAUCCGCUUGUCGCCAACAAACAGUUCCUCAGCCUUCUUCGCCGUCUUCUUGUGAUGAGUGAUGGCGUUCUUGGCGACAGAAAAAUGGAGAGCCACGAUGAAGUUUUCGUCUUCCAAAUAGAUGUCAAUGCCAGCGUGGUUAAAGUCGUAUGGGACAUGCGCUGUUCCUUCAACGGAGAGCAGCUUUCCGGACAUUGGUCCAUGGAAGUUGAGGACGUGCUUCACUGUUAUGUGUGCCCUUUUGCCUUGUGCGUAAUAAAAGCCUUGAGUCAUAAACUUUGUGCUGAGGAUUCCUGCCAUCUCGGCAUUCCAGCCGAUGCGAGCCAUGUUGUCGUCCUUAGCAACGGCUUGUACCCAGAAGGUGACCUGCUUCCGCUGCUCAUCGAGGUCAUCCUCGCGCAUGAGUCCAGCUAAGGUGCUAAGCGCAUAGGAAUGAAAAUGAGGGGUGAGAGCCUCGAGCGUUCCAUCUUUGCCCACGUAGAAGCACUUGGGCUCUAGCAGCAGAGGAAGCCUUGGAACUGUUUCUGUGCCCGUCAACUCUUUCUGGAGCUGCUCUCGAACGUUCCCUCCCAGGUGGCGCUGGAUGAACGUAUGUAUAUCUGCCUCAAAUGAUAUGAUGCACUGGUGGAACACUUCCAUGUCUGUGUCGAAUUGAUCCAGCAGCCUUGGAACUCGACCUGUUUUAGACAGAUCGACGCGCUGGAACUGAAAGAGGUUGAGAUAGGAUGCCAGUUCUUCGUCCUACAAAGCACACACAUCUCAGAAUGUGAAGAACAAGACGCCUAAGAACUUACAUUCAGUCCUCCAACAACCAGCUUGUACUGCGGGGCCUUGGGAUGACGAAGGACUUGCGUCCAUACACUUGAAAUUGAAACACAAAAGACGACGACGCAAUAUUCGAGAAGCCUGCAGAGAGAUUGUAGCCCCGGACUAUCUCUCGCCAACCUGUUGCCGUCAUCAACGACAAUGGUCAGGUCCACAUUUAUCAUCCUCUUCAAGAAGUUUUCCACGUCGAAGAUCGAUACUUGGCCCGCCUCUAUCGCUUCGAGCUCCUGCAAGGCAGCGUUGUCGUCCACAAAAGCCUGAAACAGCCCAUCCCAGAGCGUAUUCUCCGGGAAAAAAGCCAUUUUAACUCCAUCGACCAGCAUAAUCCGACGCGGCCGAGACGAGGAGCCGAUCCUGUCGCGCGCGAACUUGCCAUAGAGGUAGAGCACAGACGCUGCGACGCUGCAACUCUUGCCAGCGCCCGGGGUGCCCGUUAUGUACCUGAAACCGUAAAUACCGUAAGGACGAAGCUGCUUGCGACCGCGCUUUCCUGGAGCCGAGACUAUUAUCGAUUCUGGGAGUUUGACCUCGGGGCGCUCCUCCUCUAUGAAAUCGAUGAGCUCCUUGGUGAGAGGCCUGCCCAUGUAAUCAAACGUCGUCCGGUGCGAGAAAUGGUAGACUUCCAUAACCUUGGUCGGAUCCUGAAGAUCGGCUUCAGUGAGCUGGGCGGAGAAAGCCAUGAGCAGCCCAUGGAUCCUCUCCGCAUCCUCACGACGGACAUCCACAACCCUCUGGCGCUUGACACCGCCGCCGUCUUCCAUCCAAAAACCCUAAUGGUUGCAAAACAAUGUACUAAAGGAAUAUAUGUGAAUUUUGGCAAGUUCAACUGUUAGACUUAGAGGUGAGCACCCUCUGGACUAGAGCUUUUGCUAUGAAAUUAAAAAGAUAUCUUAAGAAUGGAGGUAAUAAUCUUAUAUUACUUUAAACUUAUUCGAAUCUAAGUUGGCAGUACUAUACAAGUGUUCUUAAUAUAUAUUAUUCACUGUUAUAAUUUUCUCCCCAUCUGAGUUGGCCAUGGUGUGUGAGCUAUGGUCCUCACCACUAUCUCUAGGAAGCUACCUCUCAAUGUUUGUGACCCAGAUUAUUUACCUUGAGAGCUAUUGAGAAUGCUGAAGCUGUGCUUAUAGUUUGGAAAUAUAAACUAUGGGUGCAACACAAUCAUUUUAUGUCAAAUCCAACAUAGCACUGCCACGAUUGAGUUGCUUUGUCUAGGACAAACAAACUCACUCUUAUUGGCCACUUCACUACUGGAUAUUCUGCGACAUGGCUUAUUAUCGCCAGGUUAUUGUUUUGCAUCUUCAUUUCUCUUUCUUGUUUUUUCUUCUUUCAGUCUCUGGGAGGCAUAUGAAUUCCCUUUCUCUUUAGGUGAUCUACAAAAUGAUAUAGGAUUGUAAUAGUUAUCUUUGCCACCACUUAGGAUUUACAUUCCCUCCUCCUUUUAUGUCCAUUGCAAUCCUAGACCUUUAGUCAUAAGUUCCACUUGUUUCCUCUUGAAAGGAAUCUCCAUUCCUUAACCAGAAUGCCAGUAGGUAUGGAUCUCUAUGUUGCUUUGUUUAUCCUAAAUGAUCAUCCACCAGAGCUGCUGGCAACGAUCAAAUGGAAAGUUCCAAGUGAUAAUGCUGGCCUGGCUGCGUGAACGAUCAAAGAUCGUAGAUCAGGUUUCGCCACUCUCCCUAUGUCCUCACCGUCUUUGCCCGAUUUCUCCCAAACCAAAAGAAGCAAGUCUUUCCUUGUGGGAUUUGAUUGAUAAGUUGGAGGAAAGCGAAGUUGCUGCUGGUGCUAUUGUUCUUCAUUUGAAUCGUCUGUGUUGAUAAGGCGCCAUCAAAUGCCAGCUAAUAUCCGGUUUAGAACUAAUCUGAAAAUACACUAAAUAUAAUUUUUGAUUAGAACCACUCCUUUAAUUAGGAUAAAAACCAACCCAACAAAAUUUACAACAGGCAAAAUUUGGCUGUCCAUUUUAUAUCAACAUCCCCAUCUUCUUCCGAGCAGCCUUGAGCUCCUCGCCAACCUUGGAAGUGUCUUCCAUCAGAAACUUGUCAAUCUGUGCUGCCGCUUGCCUCCCUUCGGCAAUCGCCCACACAACCAGCGAUUGUCCUCUUCGACAGUCACCAGCGGCAAAGACACCCUUGACAUUUGUAGCAAAUUUGCCAUACUCUGCUUUAAAUGUGGUUGCUGCAUCAUUGGUAGCCACUUUGAGCUUCUCAGCUACGUCCUGGAAAGGAGAAGCGUCAGCUGGAAUGAAAAGAAAAGAAGAACUUAGCUCAUUUCACCUGUUCUGGUCCCACGAAUCCCAUGGCCAAGAGCACCAAAUCUGCCUCUAUUAUCUCUUCCGACCCUUCGAUUUCCUCCCUCUGGAAUCUCCCACUCGCGUCCUUAAACCACCGCACCCGUUUGAGCACCAAGCCGCUGACACGGUUAUCACCAUCGGUGAUAAACUUCUUUGUGGUCACCUCAUACGACCUGGGAUCACUACCAAACUUCUCCUUUGCCUCGGCAUGCCCGUAAUCAACGCGGAAAAUUCGUGGCCACUGCAACAAUCGCGAGCCGUAAGGAACACUCCAACACAGAGACGAAAAGACAAGAAACUCUUACCUGUGGCCAAGGAUUCCCCGGUGCACGAGUUGCAGGAGGCUGAGGAAGUAGCUCCAGAUUUACAACGCUCUUGCAGCCGUGGCGGACCGCAGUACCGAUGCAAUCUGUGCCUGUAUCGCCUCCUCCUAUCACCACCACCUUCUUGUCUUUGGCGGAUAUGUAGUUGUUGUCCUUGAGCCCCGAAUCCAGCAAACUCUUGGUAUUCGCGUGAAGGAACUCCAUGGCAAAAUGUAUGCCUUCAUAUUCUCGGCCUUCUACUUUAAGGUCCCUGAAGAAAAACAAAUAAAAAGAUGGUUAGACCUAGAAACAAGUGAAGAGUUCCAUACCUGGGCUUAGUAGCGCCACAAGCAAGUAGUAAGCUAUCAUAGUCGGACAUUAACCUCUCCACCGAGAAUAACUUGUCAACUCCGACGUUCGCAUUAACGAUGAACUCGAUCCCUUCGGCAGCCAUCAGGUUCACUCGCCGUUGAACGACCUCCACUUUGUCGGUCUUCAUGUUCGGUACACCGUACAUCAUGAGGCCUCCAAUUCUAUCCGCUCGCUCAAACACUGUCACGGAGUGGCCGGCCUUAUUGAGC